rnacentral:misc_RNA from 1 species
GAUGAAGAACGUAGCGAAAUGCGAUAAGUAAUGUGAAUUGCAGAAUUCAGUGAAUCAUCGAAUCUUUGAACGCACAUUGCGCCCGCCAGCAUUCUGGCGGGCAUGCCUGUUCGAGCGUCAUUUCAACCCUCGAGCCCCCCCGGGGGCCUCGGUGUCGGGGGACGGCACACCAGCCGCCCCCGAAAUGCAGUGGCGACCCCGCCGCAGCCUCCCCUGCGUAGUAGCACACACCUCGCACCGGAGCGCGGAGGCGGUCACGCCGUAAAACGCCCAACUUUCUUAGAGUUGACCUCGGAUCAGGUAGGAAUACCCGCUGAACUUAAGCAUAUCAAUAAGCGGAGGA